rnacentral:rRNA from 1 species
UAGGGAAUCUUCCACAAUGGGCGCAAGCCUGAUGGAGCAACACCGCGUGAGUGAAGAAGGGUUUCGGCUCGUAAAGCUCUGUUGUUAAAGAAGAACACGUAUGAGAGUAACUGUUCAUACGUUGACGGUAUUUAACCAGAAAGUCACGGCUAACUACUUGCCAC